UGUCUUCAAGCAAUUUGCGUCUAGUUUCGACCUAGAAGAAGGUGUUAACAAUACCGUUGAUUU
rnacentral:tRNA from 1 species